rnacentral:rRNA from 1 species
AUUGAACGCUGGCGGCGUGCUUAACACAUGCAAGUCGAGCGGCAGCGGGCCCGCAAGGGUGCCGGCGAGCGGCGGACGGGUGAGCAAUACAUAGGAAUCUGCCUCAGAGCGGGGGAUAGCCAGGGGAAACCCUGAUUAAUACCGCAUGACGUCGAGAGACCAAAGUGGGGGAUCGUAAGACCUCACACUCUGAGAUGAGCCUAUGUCGGAUUAGCUAGUUGGCGGGGUAACGGCCCACCAAGGCGACGAUCCGUAGCUGGUCUGAGAGGACGAUCAGCCACACCGGAACUGAGACAC